GCAGCAGCCACGGGAAUACAGAGGGUGCGAGCGUUAAUCGGAUUUACUGGGCGUAAAGCGUGCGUAGGCGGCUUCUUAAGUCGGAUGUGAAAUCCCUGAGCUUAACUUAGGAAUUGCAUUCGAUACUGGGAAGCUAGAGUAUGGGAGAGGAUGGUAGAAUUCCAGGUGUAGCGGUGAAAUGCGUAGAGAUCUGGAGGAAUACCGAUGGCGAAGGCAGCCAUCUGGCCUAAUACUGACGCUGAGGUACGAAAGCAUGGGGAGCAAACAGGAUUAGAUACCCCUGUAGUCCCUGUCUCUUAUAC
rnacentral:rRNA from 1 species